rnacentral:misc_RNA from 1 species
UUUGAAUUAGAAAGUUAUUUUUUAUUAGUGACAGGUGAACACAUUUUUCUUGUUUUUUCUUAUUUUCCAUGAAAAAUGAAAACUGGUGUUUUCUUAAAAAAUGAAAAAUGAAAAACAUAGAACUGUUUCUUUAUAACAGGUCCUUAUCUUUCCCAAAUGCAAUGCCCAUUUUUAAAGUAGCAACCAUCUAAUGUGUGUGUGUAUAUAUAAGGCCCUUUUGGCAAUAGGGACUUAAUGGAUUUUUUCCUCAUACUACUUAUUUCCAUAAUGUCAUCAUUGCCAUGUAGAAUGUAACUAUUCUUGUAUGAAUUUUCAGUUUUCUACUAGACUAUGCUUCUAAGUUCUAAAUUAAAUACCUAUAUUAGAUGACUUGCUUUUGUCAAGUGAAUUGUUAAUUACUGUCCUGGGUGCUGGGGCUUUAUCAUUUUGUUCUUAGUUGGAGUUGCACAUGCUACAUUAACAUUGAUAUCCUCAUAUGACUUGGAUAAUUUUUCUUGUAUCAUCGAAACAAAUUUUUAUAAUUGUUCUUGUUGCAGGGGA